CGGGGCGUAGCGCAGUCUGGUAGCGCAUCUGCUUUGGGAGCAGAGGGUCGCAUGUUCGAAUCAUGUCGCCCCGACCA
rnacentral:tRNA from 1 species